CCCUCCCGCGGGGAAGGGGGGAGGAGCGCGCGAAGACUCCCUGCUCCGAAGCAGCGCGAGGCCUCGGCGGUAGGUGCAGCACCUGCCUGGCGGAGCGAGGCGCCUGCUUAUCCCUCCAGCGUUUCCAGACUUUAAAGCUCUUCCCAGGGGAACGGAGGAGGGAAUUACCAUGAGGUUAUGAUGCAUACAUUACUGAGGGGGAGGAAAUCCAGCGGGGUGGGGGUGGCUGCGCGGAGAGCGGAUUAGGUAUUUCUGUGUGGGCUAGGAAGGUAAUUGCUGAGAAAAGCCCUUGGCUCAGGGUGGGGAGGGGGAUAGGAACAUCAUUUUUUAUUAGGAUGAUUCUAUUUCACAUACUUUAGACCAGCAUUCGGAGGCUGUCAGAAUAAAUGGACCUCCAAAGGAAUGGUUAUUUCCUUAUUUGGCUGCUCAAUGUACAGUAUGUGAUGGAUGGCACAGAACAAUAAAUGCUGUUAUCUUUAAACUGCUCUGAUUCCAGAAAUCACAUCUUUCCCUGUAUUAAGAACUCCCUUUCAGGCAUACGUGGCCCCCUGGGAGGGAAAUAUCUUUCUGAACAGGCCUUCUUGCUAUUAUUCAACAAUAAUUCAGUUCCAGCAGCAUGCCAGGUGCUAUACAGAUCACUGAAUUGCAUUGCUUAUUGAAAAGUCUACAGAAUUCAUGGGCGUUUGAGCUUCCCCUGGCCAAAAAAUGCAUUUAUGCAGAAGUAAGCCUCAUCGAUUUUGUGAAAUUGACUCCUGUAAGUGUUCAUAUAGGAUCAAAGAUACAGGGAUAAGAUAAGGUUUGAUCAAGGAUGAAGGAAGAUGGGGCAGUGAAGGGUGAAACCGAUAGUAAUUGAAGGUGGUCUGGGUAAGCAUGAAGGUUAUGAAAGUUCAGUGCUGAGACUUGGAUAAGUUGCAAGGUUGCUGCAGCAACAGAGGGAGAUGCUACAGUGGUUUGCAAAGAAGGAGGUAGGAAGAGUGGAGUGGCAAAGCAGAGGGUGAAAAGGUCAGUUGCUGGGAGAAGUAAACGAGGCCCAGUGAUAGCUUACAGGGAGAACAAAAUGUGAGAAAGGUGAUGAGAAGAAAAAGAAAGCAGAUGGGGCAGAAAAGCAAGGGCAUUAUAAAUGUAAAUACAGAAAGGUGACAUUCUCUCACCUAUCCUAAUUACUGCUCUUCCUCAUUCUUCACACAAUGUAUGGCUACCAAGGCGUGUUUAGAAGGCAACAUAGAAAAUACAGCACCGGCUACUUUUAGCCCUGUAUGUGAAGAAGCACCAAGAUGGCCUCCACUGUGAGGAGCAAAGCUAGGACCUAACUUCUAGGCUGAUAAAUUAUCAUGUUUUAUUAUCACCAUUUGGAUUCAGGUCAGAAACAAUAGAAAAAAAUGAUGGCCACUCUCCAGCUGAAGGUUCUUGUGACUAAUAUGAUAAUAAAUCACACUGACCACAGUAGAAUUGACUCCUGAGUAAACAUGCAGAGAGUUGUGCUGGCAAUCAUUCUGAAGGCAAUGGGCCUUCAGUAACAAUUAAGUUGUUCCAGUGGUUUCAGUGGAACAUACCCAUUCUGGCUUUUAUAUAUUUUUUAUUGUUUAUGUUUAUAUGUUAUAAAUAAUAAAGCAAGUGCCUUUAGCUAAAUUAAUGACAACAUGUUUGAAGAAUAAUUGCUGUUCUGCUAGUAUGUUAAUAUAGAUUUAUAUUGCCCAGAAAAUAACAUGGAACACUUUCUCCCCUACUUAUUUUAUAUAUUAAAUAUAAUAUUUACCCAUACACAUGAUGGUACUGUUAAGGUGGAAAGAACCGCAAGGCAGAAUUGGAAAGGAGGCAGAUUUAGGUUCUGAUGAAAUAAAUUAGCUGAUGAAAUUAACAAGGCAAGUGAGGGAUUCUAUGCCUGGGUACAAUGGUGCAAAUUCAUCACUUGGUAAGAUAUUGGUAAGAGAAUUCUGUCCCAAAACAAGUGUGUAAUUUUUUUUACCUCUUGUAUGAGUUUAUGUAUGCCCAUCACUCCACCUCAAAAAUAAAAUAUAGACAGUGGUAGAUUGUGUAAUGUGAAUUGCACCCCAUCCCUUGUAUGGUUGUACAGAUACUAUUUUGGUCAACAGUUAGUUAGCUUUUAGCUCUGUUCCUGUGUGAAAAGUUAGGUAUGUUUGUACAGGAAUUAAAAUGGCUGCUGAUAAUUGAGUACAUGCCACCAUUUCUUAAUCUUUUCUUCCUUAAAGCAGAGAAGUGGGAUUAGCCAAGAACAAAAUGUAACUGUUAAUACAUAUGACUCAUGUUUUCUGCUCAACAUUUUGAUAUAAAGAGGAUAGAAAAAUACUCUGUGUAUAUCUAUGCAAGAUGACUUAAAAAGCAAAUAAAGAGCCUAACAUUUUAGCAACAGAUUUUCAGGCAGGAAGAUUCUGUAUCGUUUGUCCGGACAUCCCUAAGCCAUAUCCAGAUGGUCAAUGGCCAUAGGGCCAGCCCUACCACUAUGCAAGGUGGAGCAGCUGCCCUGAAGACAGCUUUGGGGCAUGCUGGAAAGACAGCAAGCUACCAGUUCUUUAGCUUACCGUUCCUUUUUUUAUCGGGGGUAGGGGGUUGUGGAUUUCAUGUCUCAUGAGUCCUAUGUAAUGCCCUACAUAGCAAUAGCAUGAUAUCCAUGCUGCAUUUAAUGAAUGGCAACAGAAAACUGUGCUGCCAUGGUGAUGGUAUCUUGCUAUGGAAGGGGAGGUUUAACCAUAUUUGUGUUUUGCUCCCCUACCCUUGCUUUUAGAGGAUGGAACUAUGUGUACUCUAUUACUUGAGAAAUUUGCACUGUAUAAAGAGGAGAUUUGGAAAGAGACUGAAACUGAGUAGUCUCAGAGCAGAGUAUCAGAAGCUUCUCAGCUUGAAACUAGCCAGUUUCAGUGUCCAUAGGAGUUCCAUCAUUACAGAUUGAGUGCUGGUUAUAGGGUCGCUGUGUUUGUUUCAUGUAAGCUGUUAGCAGUCAUGGAAGAUCUUUCAUGCCAUCAGUUAUUUCAUGGCACUGUCCGGUAUGUGCCUGUGAUGCAUGUAGAACUCCUUACCAGCAAGCACAGUAUGACAAUGAUUCCACUCUUUGGGUGGUGCAAAUGCAUAAAAUGCAUUGCUUCUGGACUGCUGGGAAUGUGCAACAUUCUUGAAAUAGAGGCAUAUCCCUGAGGGAAGACUUCUAUUCCAUUCUGGGGGGAAAUGCUCUUCUCUUUUGAGUGCAGCAUCUUCAAAACAGAAGCACUUCCUUAAGGGAAGACAGUUAUAUCCCAUCCAACAAAUGAACACAGCUGCACAUUUUUCCUCUGUAAACUGAUACGGCUCCUUUACAUUCUCAUGGCCACAUUUAUGGCAAAACACUGACACCGAUGAUAUCCCGGCCAAAUGGAAAAAUACAUUUGUUGAAAUUGAAUUUUAUUCAUUAUCUUACCGUGUCCUGUGCUUUACAUUUACCCCCCCCCAAAAAAAAAAAAAAAUUCAGUGCUAGCUAAUAAAUCUGGACAUACUUAUUUUUGUUGCAAAUGAUAAACAUAGUUUCAUUGUUUUCAGACACAGAAAAACAAAGCAAAAAUCAAAAGCUGAAAAGCAGGCCUCUCUAUGCAGUGUAAGAUGUACUGAAGCCCAUUGAAAUCAAUUUGGGGAGUAGGAUUUGGCCAGAGGACCAGAUUCAGAAGUGGCUAAGCCUCCGUGGGUUACUGUGACAAUGACACCAGACAUUCAUUCAUUUAUAAGUAUAUAUAUAUAUAUAUAUACCACUUGAUAUUUCAAAAACAUCAUGUCAGGCACAAACAAAGCAAGCGUGGUUCACCCAAAAUAGCCAUACUAGGUCCAUAGUCUGAAGGUUCCCCAUCACUGGCUUAGGCAGUUUAGGACUAAGCUAACUGUUAAUGCUGUAAAUCAGCUUUUGAAAACAAAAUGUAGACAUAAUUUGGUUAUCCUGCUUAUUUUGUUUCUGCGCACAAUUGUGCCAUGAUUUCACUGGCUUUUUUUUUUUUUAAAGCACCUCCUCAACAUGGGAGAGUUAAGUCAGCACCAAUGGAAAUCCUUUGAUGGCUAAUAGCAUUUCUUUGUAAACGUAUGAAGUGGGUCUAAAUUCAUCAAAGGAAGGGAAGAUCAAAACCAGGAGAGGAGGAGAAACAGCUAUGCAUCUACCCACCUCGCCUGGGAUCCAGUGCCUGUUACAGUUCAGACAGCUCACUCCACCCACAGCAUCUGAAGAAUCAGACACUGCUCUGCCAUUUUAGUCCCCCCCCCUUUGCCUUGUAUAUGGGAAGGCUGCAGCUUUAUAUUUUCAUCUGUGGUGUGGUACAAGCUGGAGAAAACAUAGGUUUGACCAAACAAAUGAUGUUCUGAAUGGGGG
rnacentral:lncRNA from 1 species